AACGCUGGCGGCGUGCCUAACACAUGCAAGUCGAACGUGAAAGGGGCUUCGGCCUGAGUAAAGUGGCAAACGGGUGAGUAACGCGUGGGUGAUCUGCCUUUGAGUGGGGGAUAACCUUCCGAAAGGAGGGCUAAUACCGCAUGACAUCCUGUUUUUGGAUGAACGGUGAUCGAAGCUGGGGACCGCAAGGCCUGGCGCUUGAAGAGGAGCCCGCGUCCGAUUAGCUAGUUGGUGGGGUAAUGGCCUACCAAGGCGACGAUCGGUAGCCGGCCUGAGAGGGCGGACGGCCACACUGGGACUGAGACACGGCCCAGACUCCUACGGGAGGCAGCAGUGGGGAAUUGUUCGCAAUGGGCGCAAGCCUGACGACGCAACGCCGCGUGGGGGAUGAAGGUCUUCGGAUUGUAAACCCCUGUUGGGUGGGACGAACACUUUUGUGGUGAAUAUCCACGAAGGCUGACGGUACCACCUGAGGAA
rnacentral:rRNA from 1 species